rnacentral:rRNA from 1 species
GACAGAGGUGCCAAGCGUUAUGCGGAAUCACUGGGCUUAAAGCGUGUGUAGGCGGAUGCCUAAGUACCUUGUGAAAUCCCACGGCUCAACCGUGGAACUGCUGGGUAUACUGGGUGUCUUGGGUCAUCUAGGGGCUGCCGGAACAAAUGGUGGAGCGGUGAAAUGCGUAGAUAUCAUUUGGAACGCCAACGGCGAAAGCAGGCAGCUGGGGAUGCACCGACGCUGAGACACGAAAGCCAGGGGAGCGAACGGG